rnacentral:rRNA from 1 species
UACGUAGGGUGCAAGCGUUAAUCGGAAUUACUGGGCGUAAAGCGUGCGCAGGCGGUUUUGUAAGUCUGAUGUGAAAUCCCCGAACUCAACCUGGGAAUUGCAUUGGAGACUGCAAGGCUAGAAUCUGGCAGAGGGGGGUAGAAUUCCACGUGUAGCAGUGAAAUGCGUAGAGAUGUGGAGGAACACCGAUGGCGAAGGCAGCCCCCUGGGUCAAGAUUGACGCUCAUGCACGAAAGCGUGGGGAGCAAACAGG